rfam:Rattus norvegicus chromosome 11, whole genome shotgun sequence.
GGAAUUUUAGCUCAGCGGUAGAGCGCUUGCCUAGCAAGCUCAAGGCCCUGGGUUCAAUCCCCAGCUCCG